rnacentral:rRNA from 1 species
UACGGAGGGUGCGAGCGUUAAUCGGAAUUACUGGGCGUAAAGCGCGCGUAGGUGGUUGAAUCAGUCUGAUGUGAAAGCCCUGGGCUUAACCUGGGAACUGCAUUGGAUACUGUUUGACUGGAGUGUGGUAGAGGGGUGUGGAAUUUCCGGUGUAGCAGUGAAAUGCGUAGAGAUCGGAAGGAACACCAGUGGCGAAGGCGGCACCCUGGACCAACACUGACGCUGAGGUGCGAAAGCGUGGGGAGCAAAC